rnacentral:lncRNA from 1 species
GCAGCUGGGUGUGAGUCCGCGGAGCUGAGAGCCUUGCCCUCUGCUCCAUCCUCCUCUUUUGGGGGUCUCCGCGGUGUCAGGACUUGGAGAGCCUGGUCGUGGGACUUGAUCAGAGAGGCCUUGAGUGCAGUGGGUGCUUAUCUGGUGACUGUGGCCCUGAGGUCUGGGACAGACACUGCCAGUCUUUCUGGGCCACACCCACGGGGACUGCCAGCCCCCCUGGGCUUGGCACAGUGGAGGGGAGCCUCCACCACAGUGGAGGAGAGACACACCCAAGGCCCUGGAUGUGCCCGGCUCUCUGCAGCUGUGGGUGCCUCAGGCCGGCCGCCGAUGGGUCUCAGUUUCUGAGGGGGUGGCAGUGAAGUUGCAGAGAAGAAACCUAUGAAGGUGCCCUGUCAACUGCCACACGCCGAGAUGCACAUUGACAGCCCAUCACCGCCUCUUGCCUGUCCUCCCCGGGGACCGGCAGAUCAUGGGAGAUGAUUUGUCAAGGGGAGACACAUUUGGGUGACACCAAGCCGAGCUUCCUGUCUUGAGACGCUUUCUGCUUUCUCAUCUUCCUGCUAAUGAGUUGCCUUUUGUGUGUAUCCCACUUCCUGUCCCACCCAGCCCCAAAUGUCCGUGGAACCGGCCCCACUAACCUGCAUCCAGCUGCCUCUUCCACCUGGGCCCUGCUCUCAGAUGGAAGUGUCACCAAACACCCAGAUCGCCGUGCUCCUGCUUCUCUGGAGUGGACACAACCUGAAAACCAACUGGACUGAGCAUCCUUCUCCUAAAAUCUCAGCCAGAAGCCACGAUGGAGGGUCCUGGGAAGGGAAGAGAUGUGAAGAUUUCUGUGAUUCUAAAACCUUGGGUCUGCCUGCAAACUUCUCUCUGAUCCCAGCCGAGAGCUGUGCACACGCUAGCUAGCCCUGUCACACAAUAGCCCAGUGUUCCCGUCACAGUGCCUGGGAAUGAGAGGCUUUUGAGGCCACAGAGCUAUGACAAGUCCCCAGGUUGAAUUGACUCUGGGAGGACAAAUUUCUGAGAGACUCACGGGACCCUUAUCCAGGACAACCUCACAAAGAUCCCUGAAACUGAGCUUCCUCUGCUUCGUGCAUAGUUUGAGGUAUAAACUUUCCUUGUGUCUCGGUCAGAUGAAGUGAAGGAUGAAUAUUAUCCCAGGCUAAAGUAACGAAAAGUCCAGAAGCCAGCGAUGACAGAGAUGUGUGUGGAAGAAGGCUGUGAGCAUUUCCAUCAAACCCUGUGAGUUUCCGAAGAUCUUAUCCCGAAGAUAUGUGUUUGGCCAAUAAAACACUGAAUAAAAAUCCAUCAUGUUUCCAGAGCCAAGUCGACUUCUGCUGGGCUGGGGUGAGGCAGAGGCAGAAUCAGACCUUAUAAAGAUGUUUUGAAUAGCGGCUGUUCUGGGAUCGCAGCCCAGUGACAGUGAAUGCUUUCUGAGUUCUCGGAUGAGAAGGAACAGAGUGACAGACUGACCAUAACUGGCCACUGUGGUGUGUGCUCAGCUCCAGACCAGCACCUUAUUUGGUGGGGGGAGAGGGUUCAAGGCCCCAGCGAGACAGUGAGUCCUGGUAGGGAAGGAACUCUGGCCAAGCUGCAGGCUGUGCAGUGGAGUGGGUUAGGAGGGGCCCUCGGGGAGGGAAGAACAAGGAGAGAGGGAAGUGAGAGGAAAGGAGGUUUCUCCUUCAUCUAAAUCCCAAGUAUACACCCUUCUAAGGUCUGUUCUGGCCCUUCCCUAGGGAGUGCCUUCCCCUCUACCUGCCAGGUCCCAUAGAUAAGGAUGUCCUCCCCUGCAGGCGCCUGGCCUCCAUCACAGCAUGCCCACUCUGUGCCCGCUGCAACCUCCUCUGACUCUCCCACUAGACCGGUGCCUGGUACACAUGCUCCUGCGUGCAUGAACAUCGGUCAGCUAUGGGUCCUCAAGAUGACAAAACCCCCUGCUCCUGUGUCCUCACGGGGAUCUGCACCAGCACUGGGCUGAACACUCUCCCUGCAAUCUGUCAGUCACGUCUUCUGUAGCAUUUUCUUUCUGGCAACAACGGUUGGGGUCAUUAAAAGUGUCUUUGAAAUGCAA